UAAGGAAUAUUGGUCAAUGGACGAAAGUCUGAACCAGCCAUGCCGCGUGCAGGAAGACGGCCCUACGGGUUGUAAACUGCUUUUGUACUGGAAUAAACCCCCGAUCGUGAUCGGGGUUGAAUGUACAGUAAGAAUAAGGAUCGGCUAACUCCGUGCCAGCAGCCGCGGUAAUACGGAGGAUCCGAGCGUUAUCCGGAUUUAUUGGGUUUAAAGGGUGCGUAGGCGGCUUUUUAAGUCAGGGGUGAAAGACGGUAGCUUAACUAUCGCAGUGCCUUUGAUACUGAAGAGCUUGAAUGUACUUGAGGUAGGCGGAAUGUGACAAGUAGCGGUGAAAUGCAUAGAUAUGUCACAGAACACCAAUUGCGAAGGCAGCUUACUAAAGUAUGAUUGACGCUGAGGCACGAAAGCGUGGGGAUCAAACAGGAUUAGAUACCCGUGUAGUCC
rnacentral:rRNA from 1 species